AUGCUUUUCCUCCCUGGCUGUCUGAGGAUAGACCACCAUCAUGAACGGUACAUAACUAUUGGCACUAGAAAGUUCAUGACCAGCUGACAACUUCAGAGGAAACAAAUGGUCAUUGAUAUCUUUCAUCCCCGGAAGGCAACAGUUGCCUAAGACAGAAAUUCGGGAAAAACUAGCCAAAAUGUACAAGACCACACCGGAUGUCAUGUUUGUAUUUGGAUUCAAAACUCAUUUUGAUGGUGGCAAGACAACUGGCUUUGGCAUGAUUUAUGAUUCCCCAGAUUAUGCAAAGAAAAAUGAACCCAAACAUAGACUUGCAAGACAUGGCCUGUAUGAGAAGAAAAAGACCUCAAGAAAGCAGCGAGAGGAAUGCAAGAACAGAAUGAGGAAAGUCAGGGGGACUGCAAAGGCCAAUGUUGGUGCUGGCAAAAAGCUGAAGGAGUAAAGGUGCUGCAAUGGUGUUAUCUGUGGCCAUUGUGGAUUUUUCAUGAGAAGAUUAAUAAACUAAAAACUUUCAUGUGAAAAAAACAAAAACAAA